UGCAUAAUAGUCAACUAGAACUGGUUUAUCAGAGUUCACAAGCAGAUCCUCAAAUGAGUCAAAUGUCUGCUUCUUGGCUUCAAUCUGAAGUAUGAACAAGAAUGGUUUGUCAUUUAGUUCAAUCUAAAUCAAGAAGUAGAUAAAGGCACUCACUUUAAAUCAAUUCCAAACUCUAGAGAAAAUCAGCUAUAGAAACUAAAAUAAGAAAAAUUUCAAAAUAGGAAAGCUAUCAUCAGCUCUACCAUCAGAAGAAAGUUUGAAGCUUGAAUUCAAUAAUUCAUAGGGUAAAAUUAAGUAAGCUAGAAUUGAACAAAAUAUAAGCUUUGGAAAAAGAUGUUUAAGCAGAGAAAGGCGAUUACACGUCGAGGAGUGCAUCGAGUCGU